GUUCAACAUUAUGACCUCAUGCUGUGGAAGCACGAAUACGAAAUGUCUUAAAACAUCUUAAGAUACUUAUAAAGGAAAAUGGAAAGAUUUGGAAAAAAUAACUGGUCAUUAUUUCGACAAAUUGAACCGGUCCCACAAGUGUGGAUGUCUUUUCCAUCCUUUAAUUAUAACACAAUUAUUGAAUUUGGUUUUCGCCAGAUAUGAAGAAUCAGCAAGUCAAAAGGGCUUUGUAAUUCAUAUCAUGCUCAACCUCAUUCAGUAAUUAUUAAAUAUCGCGCAAAUUUAAAUACAUUUAAGUGUAUCAAGUGGUGUUGAUCCACUGAUUCCUACCUGUAGGUUAAUGCUUUCUAUUUUAGGUUUUGAAAGUCCAAGCUCACUUGAUGAACAUGUCUGUGAAGUCGAAUACUGGUUCAGAGAACAUAACUACUCUUGCAGAUUUUUGCAUUAAAUCUUCAUCUAACAAUAACUGUAU